rnacentral:rRNA from 1 species
AGGACGAACGCUGGCGGCGUGCUUAACACAUGCAAGUCGAGCGGAAAGGCCCUUCGGGGUACUCGAGCGGCGAACGGGUGAGUAACACGUGAGUAACCUGCCCCUAGCUCUGGGAUAGCUCCGGGAAACCGGGAUUAAUACCGGAUACGACCACCUUAGACAUCUUUUGUGGUGGAAAGAAUUUCGGCUAGGGAUGAGUUCGCGGCCUAUCAGCUUGUUGGUGGGGUAACGGCCUACCAAGGCGACGACGGGUAG